ensembl:processed_transcript ccl33.3 chemokine (C-C motif) ligand 33, duplicate 3
ACAUCAACAGUCAUCUACAGUUAUCUCACUUUUACAUCUGCAAGAGAUCACAAAUCAUGAGGGCUUCAUCUGUGUUUCUGCUGCUUGGACUGACGGUCCUUAUGGCCUGGACCUCUGAGGCUCAGCCUGCAAUUCCCGAACCCUGUUGCUUCAAUUUCAUUGACUUUCCAAUCCCAGCCAACAAAGUAGUGAGUGCCGUGAGAACAGUUUCACGCUGUGCUGUUAAAGGCAUUGUGGUUACGACACCUAGAACCCAGUUUUGUGUGAAACCAGAUGAAGACUGGAUAAAGCCCAUAAUGGAAAAACAGCAAUAAAAACCACAACACAAUAAUGUGCAUAUAUAAUACUGUUUCUGCUUAAUGCAACUGUCCUUUAUUAUUUCUUCUCAUUUUUCUUAUCUUAUUUUUUCAAGUAUUUGUUCCUUAAUAUAACAGAGUUUUUUUCAUUUUGUGCUCAAUACGUGCAAAUAAACAAUAAAAAGAUUAUACCU